CAUAGUAAUAUAAUUUUAAACAUGCUGAACUAGAAGCUGUUUAAGUCUGAAUUUCUAGUCCUAUAUCUUCUAUUUACCAAGAGAUGGUAGAUAUUGUUGGAGACUACUUGAAGAUUUAACUUUAAGUUCCUUCAAUCCUUCUUCCAAAGAAUCAAGCUGUAAAUAUCAGGUGAACCUUAUGGCAUUGCCAACAUUUUAUCAGUGUUGAUUGACGAAAGGCUUUGGCUGCAAGUUCUGACCUAUGACCACACACCAGUCCAGAGCAAGCUGGGGGUGCAAAUGAGGGCAGAUUUUGGGAAGAAAAUGCUUACUGAGCAUCUCCUGCCUAUUUGCAAAGUGGCACAGUGGUCAUCUCUGCCAAUUCUGCAGUUCUCCUGAAAAGUGUCAUCACCCCACUUGUACAGAUGAUGAAACGACAGCUCAAGGCAUUCCAUACAAACUAGACAGAGCCAUAAAAAAAACAGUGUCCAACAUUUAAACCUAGGUCAUUCUAGCUACAAUUCUAUAUUUCCAUUUCUCUCCACCUGAUUGGUCAGUAUGUGAGUGGCAUAUUUGUAAGUCCCUCUUUUGAUAUAGGAAUGGGGCUUUAGGUGAAAGGGAGUUGCUUUAAAAACCAAUUACUUAAGAACUGGGACUAACCCAGUGUCCAGGAAAGCACAUGAUGGUGCAGUGGUCUGAAAUAGUUUCUGUAUUCCUUGACCAUUCUUCUGAGAGAAGGACAUUCUGACCAUGCAGCAGGCACCGGGGUCCAUGGUCCAGGAGGGCGUGCUCAUGCCAGCAUGCGCUGUGAAGAGAGUGAUCUCUUACACAAGGACUCUGGAAGUUUCCACUGUUGUUCUAUAGUUUUAUGCAGUGCUCAGCUCCAUAGAGAGACUCAUGGAGGAAAACAGAAAGGAAAGAAAAUUGUCCAUGGGAGAAGUGAAGCCUGAGAAAGAAACAAAAGCGGCUAGUGUCUGCAUUUCUUCACCGUUGCAUGGAAGAUUUGUAUGUAAAGGUAUUAGUGACAAAAAGUGCUGAGCCAGAAACUGACUCUAAAAAAACACAAAACCAAACAAUUCUUAACCACUACCUGCAAGCUCAAAUGACAAUGAUGAUGAAGAAAUAAAGGAAAGAUUAAAAAAACAUUUAAAAAGACAUCAGCUACCGACCUCCUUGAGCACAAAUACUGAAAAAUUGGAAGAGUUCAGAUAGCUGAGAAGACAAAGAAACCUGAUUGAAGCACUCUCUGCCCCAGGAUGACCCAGAGGUCAACCAGAGAGCUGACUCUCCCUAAAAGCAACUUCAGACCUCAUAAGAAACACUGUUCAAAGGCAGAGUAAAACAAUUAGGGGCUUAUACUAGAGAAUAACAAAUGGAAAUGGAUUUUCAUCCUCUUCUGUGGUCCAGGGACAUGGCUGUAGGGGGUCUUCUGAUGCCCUUCACCUUUAGAGUGACAGAGAGUGCAAACAUCCUUACCAGGAAGAGAAAACAGGUCAGUCUUCUGUAAGGCAAUCCUGAGAGAUGCUCUAGUUUUCUAUCAAAGUAGUACUUUGUGUGCUAUGAUAAUUAAUCCUCCACCUUGAGACAAAUUCAUUUGUGUUAUUGCAUUAAUUUUUAAAAAAUCAGAUAGAAAGGCUAGGGAUUUCUCUUCUUGCUUUAAGCAAAAUAAAGAUAUUUUGAUGUAUACUGUUGAAUGAAAACAC